GUCACAGUUUUUAUUAUUUUACAAAUUAAAUUGCCAUGUCAAUGCCACAUCAAUGCCACGUCAGAUGAAGACCGGGUCAACUUUGCCACGUAGGCGCCACGUCAGCUAAAACCGCCGUCCAAACCGCCAUGAGACCUAUAUUGCACCGGUUUUGACAGUUGAGGGAUCUGUUGUAUCUGGUUUUAUGGUUGAAGUACGAAAAUCGGACUCGUUGACAAGUUAAGGGACCUCAGAUGAACUUAUUCCUACAAAAAUUGCUUCGAGCCCACGACUAGCAGCCCAUCCGGUAGUUCAGCCCCAUGGGCCUUUACUGCCCGCAGCCCACACGACGCGCCCAAGGCCCAACCCCUGCCUCCCUUUCCACCAUCCGCGACGUGGCCGUCGCUUGGUAGGUUAGCGUCGCCCGUCUCUUCCCCCCCAUGUGAUCGAUCGCCACCGCCGCUCCCGCCGCCGCUGCUCCCUCCGGUGCGCCUCCCGUGGGCUCGCGCCGCUCUCUCCGCCGCGAUCUCACCCUGCUCCGCCGCCUCCAUCCCCGCUCUCGGGAAAGGGAGAUUGGUACUUUCUCUGUAUCGUUUCCCAACAGGAAUGAUCCAAACAGUGCCAAAGCUGCUUUUAGACGGCUGCUGGAUUCGAAGGAAUGAUACAUGCUAUUAGCAGGAUGGAUCUUCACAUGCCAUAUCAUCUCCAAAUUUUAACUGUGGCGAGGGAUCGGUUGACUGAAAUGAGUGAAAUUGAACUGAAGUACUCCAAUGUCCAAUCUACGAACAGGUUUGAUUGGCAGCGGGUUUGCAGUUUGGCGCAUCUGAGAGCGCGUGCAGGGCCGCACAUGGCGAGGCGGUGGUGCGGCGGCGGCGGAGGGGGGAGGGGAGGUGGCGGAGCGGGCGGAGGGGGAGUAAAUUCUGGGCCAAUGGGAGGCGCCGGUUCGUCGUCGUCGGGUAGUGUCAUGCGUGCAUGCGUGCAGCAUGUGGCCUUCCGUGCGCUGGUGCGUUGAGGUGCCUGUGGCUGCCGGCGCUGCGGCCACAUGCGAAGCUAUGCGCCUACGCUUCCAGUGGCAAUGGCAUGGCACUCUCUAUGGCAGCACGCGGCGCGCUUAACGGCGGGAGGUAAGCUGCCGCUCUGGGCUGGAGCUGUCGUGUAAUCACCUCUAUAUGCCGGCCCAUGCAUGUAGAAAGCGAGAGUACUGCGAAGUCAAAGUGGGGGACAUGAGCCGUAGCUGUUGUUUUCUCUUGCAACCGCGUGAUCUGGUGAGGUCAGAGUCGUUGUGCUCCACGAGUGGAUUACCAAACUGCAAUGUUAUUAAUGUGUUACCGUGCAAGAAGCCAAAGUGCAAACGGACAAGUACUCACGCAGGAAAAUUCGUGAUUGAAAUUCGGACUUUCAGAGUGACUGGAACAAGGGGAAAUCUCUUGCAAAAUGGAAGGAUAAAUACCGUUUACACUGGAUGGUAGGGUACCAACCCUUAUGAUAAGUAAAAUCAUUGGCGUGAAGGGGAAUAUUCAAUAUUAGUGCUUGUCCAGUGUCAAUGUCACCAAAGAUUGUAAUCAGAACAGAUCAGCUUACCUGAAGUCAACCACCGGGUUUUUCUCAAAGUCUGGUUCCUAACCAACAUAUAACAAUAUGACAAAGAAAGAACAUACAGUACCCAACAAUGGAGAGAAAUUACAAAUUCUCUCUCUCUUUUUUUAGAGGGGAAGUUGUAGCCUCUGCAGGCUUUGUAAAUUAACAACCUCAUGCUUAGUAUUGACAACUCUUUUAAAAAAACUCCUAUUUAGUGUUUGUUAAAUCUCGCAGGAAAUCUUGUACUUUUGGACAGGAUCCAUGAUACCCGUUCUUAACUGGGAUCAAGUCAGCCUUUCCUCUUUGUUCAAGCAAAAGAUCUUAUUUUUGCAUUGGUGUUCCAUGUACUGCACCAGACUAAACUUCACCUGUUGAUCACCCUUGUCUUUCAUUCUCAUAACUAUAUAAUUAGCUAGCUGCCUAGCUGUGAUUAACAAUAACUACAGAAUGCAAUGGAAUGA